AUGCACGCUGGCGGCGUGCCUAAUACCUGCCAGUCGAGCGAACAGACGAGGAGCUUGCUCCUCUGACGUUAGCGGCGGACGGGUGAGUAACACGUGGAUAACCUACCUAUAAGACUGGGAUAACUUCGGGAAACCGGAGCUAAUACCGGAUAAUAUAUUGAACCGCAUGGUUCAAUAGUGAAAGACGGUUUUGCUGUCACUUAUAGAUGGAUCCGCGCCGCAUUAGCUAGUUGGUAAGGUAACGGCUUACCAAGGCGACGAUGCGUAGCCGACCUGAGAGGGUGAUCGGCCACACUGGAACUGAGACACGGUCCAGACUCCUACGGGAGGCAGCAGUAGGGAAUCUUCCGCAAUGGGCGAAAGCCUGACGGAGCAACGCCGCGUGAGUGAUGAAGGUCUUCGGAUCGUAAAACUCUGUUAUUAGGGAAGAACAAAUGUGUAAGUAACUAUGCACGUCUUGACGGUACCUAAUCAGAAAGCCACGGCUAACUACGUG
rnacentral:rRNA from 1 species